rnacentral:rRNA from 1 species
AAAUUGAAGAGUUUGAUCAUGGCUCAGAUUGAACGCUGGCGGCAGGCCUAACACAUGCAAGUCGAACGGUAACAGGAAACAGCUUGCUGUUUCGCUGACGAGUGGCGGACGGGUGAGUAAUGUCUGGGAAACUGCCUGAUGGAGGGGGAUAACUACUGGAAACGGUAGCUAAUACCGCAUAACGUCGCAAGACCAAAGAGGGGGACCUUCGGGCCUCUUGCCAUCGGAUGUGCCCAGAUGGGAUUAGCUAGUAGGUGGGGUAACGGCUCACCUAGGCGACGAUCCCUAGCUGGUCUGGAGAGGAUGACCAGCCACACUGGAACUGAGACACGGUCCAGACUCCUACGGGAGGCAGCAGUGGGGAAUAUUGCACAAUGGGCGCAAGCCUGAUGCAGCCAUGCCGCGUGUAUGAAGAAGGCCUUCGGGUUGUAAAGUACUUUCAGCGGGGAGGAAGGGAGUAAAGUUAAUACCUUUGCUCAUUGACGUUACCCGCAGAAGAAGCACCGGCUAACUCCGUGCCAGCAGCCGCGGUAAUACGGAGGGUGCAAGCGUUAAUCGGAAUUACUGGGCGUAAAGCGCACGCAGGCGGUUUGUUAAGUCAGAUGUGAAAUCCCCGGGCUCAACCUGGGAACUGCAUCUGAUACUGGCAAGCUUGAGUCUCGUAGAGGGGGUAGAAUUCCAGUGUAGCGGUGAAAUGCGUAGAGAUCUGGAGGAAUACCGGUGGCGAAGGCGGCCCCCUGGACGAAGACUGACGCUCAGGUGCGAAAGCGUGGGGAGCAAACAGGAUUAGAUACCCUGGUAGUCCACGCCGUAAACGAUGUCGACUUGGAGGUUGUGCCCUUGAGGCGUGGCUUCCGGAGCUAACGCGUUAAGUCGACCGCCUGGGGAGUACGGCCGCAAGGUUAAAACUCAAAUGAAUUGACGGGGCCCGCACAAGCGGUGGAGCAUGUGGUUUAAUUCGAUGCAACGCGAAGAACCUUACCUGGUCUUGACAUCCACAGAACUUUCCAGAGAUGGAUUGGUGCCUUCGGGAACUGUGAGACAGGUGCUGCAUGGCUGUCGUCAGCUCGUGUUGUGAAAUGUUGGGUUAAGUCCCGCAACGAGCGCAACCCUUAUCCUUUGUUGCCAGCGGUCCGGCCGGGAACUCAAAGGAGACUGCCAGUGAUAAACUGGAGGAAGGUGGGGAUGACGUCAAGUCAUCAUGGCCCUCACGACCAGGGCUACACACGUGCUACAAUGGCGCAUACAAAGAGAAGCGACCUCGCGAGAGCAAGCGGACCUCAUAAAGUGCGUCGUAGUCCGGAUUGAGUCUGCAACUCGACUCCAUGAAGUCGGAAUCGCUAGUAAUCGUGGAUCAGAAUGCCACGGUGAAUACGUUCCCGGGCCUUGUACACACCGCCCGUCACACCAUGGGAGUGGGUUGCAAAGAAGUAGGUAGCUUAACCUUCGGGAGGGCGCUUACCACUUUGUGAUUCAUGACUGGGGUGAAGUCGUAACAAGGUAACCGUAGGGGAACCUGCGGUUGGAUCACCUCCUUA